AAGCUGGGGAAAGAUGAGGGGGACGGCGAGGAUUGAGAUGAAGGCUAAGAUGUCGUAACCUAGGAAUGCUUGCCAUGUGGGGAUUUCGUCUCUUAAGAAGUACUCAUUUCGCCUCUGUUCAUCGUAAUUUUCCGGUGACAGCUCCUUUGGGGGUGUGAAAGCUGUUGAUGAGAUACGCCGUUGCAGUUCCACUUGGGUACGUUAACUUGUACUUCAUAAUCAUCACCUGUUAAUAUAUAAUUAUUAAUUAUAAUUCUAAUUAUAGAUUCAGCAAAUUAUUAAGUCAGUGAGAUUAGGUAUGUAUAUAUAUGUGUAUAUAUACGGUAUAGGUACCUUUCUGAGGGGCACGAUAGAGAACAAACCAAUAAAGCUGACAACAAAAAGAAAUCCAAUCAUCCACCCAAGUGAGAGAUUCUUGACAUUAUUUGGAGUACUGUUACCUUCAUCUCCUUGGGCAGCUAUGCUCUUACUCAUAGCCAGUAGAUAGCUAGCAGUGCCACCUGUAUAUACAUAUAUUUAUAUAUACGCAUAAUUAUAGUUCUGACAAAGAAAAUAGUAGUAUAUGUAUAAUCUUUCUUGAAAACUCGGUAAUUAUAUGUCCCAGAGCUAUAGGAAUUAUAGUUGAUGGCAUAAUUUUACAUGAAACAUUGACUAACUAUAGUGUAGAAUUACGUAUAUAAUAACGUGAAACAGUACCAUCAAGACUCAGUUUGUCACGUGCGAAAUUUCAUAUGUAUAUAAUAAUAUAUUUACAUACAUAUAUACAUUGAGUCUAAUUAUGUAGCUCAAAGAAUUAUCAAGAAACACAACAACCAAUCCUAUAUACUUAUAGGGUUGAAUAUAAUAAUACCUUUAAACUUAAAGAAAACAAGAACUCACAAACAUUAAUUAUUCAAGAAAAAGUUUUAUAGGGUUUGAUAAAUUAUUCAAGAUCAAUGUACGAUGAUAAUGGUAUUCAAAAGAUCAUAUAUAUAUAGACAUGUAUAGAAGAUUGCUUACUACUAAAAGCGAUUCCAGAGGAGGCAACAACGCAAGUUUGGAUAACAGUAUUUUCUUGGCGAGUGAAGGGUUGUUUCAAGAGACGGAAUUUUUGAAGGAGAGUGGUGUAGGCCUUAACGACGACGAAACCCAACAAUCCGGCGGUGAUGUUGAGAGAGGGAAUGACUCCGGUGGUGAGGUUGAGUUUACAGACGACAAAGUUAAAGAGGACGCUGAGUACGAAGGCUGUGACCAUAGCUCUGUACGUGAUCUGGUUGUUCCAUGAGGGAACCUCUGUGUUCGUGAAAGCCUCCUCCACCGAAGAGAGUACGUUGUUCUCCCUCUGAUCAUCAAACUCAUUACUGUUAUUGUUUCUUUCUUCUGAUUCUUCUUCUUCGAAUCUUGCCCUCCUACUACUACUUUCCCCGCGGUUUCUUUCCAUGAUUUCUUUCUUGAGAUGAGAAAUAUUAACGUAGACGUAGCUAACUUAAGCUUAUCUCUCUCUCACUGUGGGUUUUUUCCUUUUUUUAUAUGUAAAUGGAUAUAUGUAUGUGUAAGUAUUUAUAGAGUAGAAAAACGAAAAUGUGUAUAAAGAUAAUCCUAACUAACUUAACGGUCAGUCUUUAUAACAAUUAGUUAUCUCUCUAGGUGACGAUCCAGUUGAGAAUUUAGAUGAAAACUGUGCAGAGUUGUGCACGUGUCUAACUGCAUGUGAGAUCAUUUUGUUUUGGAGAAGAGAAAAGCUAAAUUGUACUUACGGUAACUUGUACUUUCAUCAAAUCUCAUAUCUUUAUGUAAUUCAUUUAAUAUGGACUCUUAUUUAUUUUAUUUUAAUAAAUCAUUUUAUAGUGGUACCGAGCUCUUUGAUACUUAAUAACUAUGGGUAUGUUGGGUAACUAUUUUAAAAAUAGUUUUUUGUUUUUUUAAUCAAAAAUUUAAUAAUACAAAUAGAAAUUGUGUUUGGUAACUCAAUUUUAUUUUUUGUUUUUAAAAUUAAAAAACAAAAUGAAGUAAAUUUUAAAAACAGAUUUGUGAUGAUUUUAAAAAAUUUUAAAAACACUUUUUGCAUUUUCGCUUUUCUCUCUCGUUUAGUCACCUUCCUUAGCUCAGACAGUUCUUCCAUGGCUUAGCUUCACCAUUUCAGAUUUGAAAAUGAGAAUCGCAUGACAAUGAGAAUGGCUUCGUAGAGAGAAAGACUUUUUGCUUUUACAGCGAAGCUUUUGUUUGGCCUGAAAAACAUGAAGAAAUUUUUAUUGAACUUAUGGAGGAGCUUUAUGCACAAGCGAAGAGAAGUUACACUGAUACACAAUUAAGGAACAAAUACAAUCUGUUAAGACAAAAGCACAAGGAUUUCAAGUCUUUACUGAAAGAGACUGGCAUAGGAUUUAGUGUAGUGACUGGACAAGUUACUGCGCCAGAUGAAGUGUGGGAUAGGCUUAUUCGGGUUAACAAGUCAGCUAAAAAAUUUAGAAAAAAAGGGUUGUGUACUUUAUGGAAAGUUAUGCGUUAUUUUUGGUGAUACCACUGCAACUGGUUCCAAUGCUCAUCCUUCAACUCGGAGUCCUUCCAUAAAUGUUGAUAAUGAUGAUGAUGAUGCUAUGUCAAAGAGUCCAUCUAUUAGGAAUCAAGAAAGUAGUUUUGAUGAGGAUGGUAGCAAAAGAAGAGGUAAAUCAACUUCCACUACGAGUUCUCGAUCGGCAAAAAAAGCAAAGUUCUCACUCGCAUUAGCAGAAACAUUAACAGUGUAUAAUGAAAUCGCAAAGCGAAAGAUGGAAGUGUAUGAGAAUUCAAUGACAUCGACAAAACAUCACUUAUUGGAUGAGUGUAUCGAAGCUCUCAAUCAAAUUGAUGGAAUUAGCGGAGAAGUAUAUGCAAAGGCUAUUGAGAAAUUUGAGAGCGAGGUGUCUAGAGCAUUGUUUCUAAAAAUGCCAGAACAUAGAAGAAUUGAUUGGUUGAACUAUUUGAAGUGAUUUUUUCACUUUGUUUAACCUUUAAACUUUUUAAUUGUUGGGAUUUAUGAAUGACUUAGUUUGUAUGACUUUGUUUGUAAACAUGACUUUGUUUGUAAGCAUGACUUUGUUUGUAUGACUUUGUUUGUAAGUAUGACUUUGUUUGUAUGAAUGACUUGUUAGUAAUUUACUUUAGCUA